rnacentral:lncRNA from 1 species
CCUCCUCCCCGUGCCAGCGCCGUGGAUGGCUGACUCCCGCAGGGUGUCCCACGCCGACACAGCCGCCUCUCCUCCUUGCCGUCCUCAGUGCUGCGGCUGGAGGGCGGGCGCUUUCGGCGGGGCUGGGGCGACGCUUCCUUCUCACGGCCUCCAGGGACAGACGUGGAGAAAAGGCGGAAAGCAUCGUCCUCUGAAGCGACUUUGUACCUGAGCUUUCGCUGGCUCCUUUGCUGCUUCCGAGGUGGUAGUGAAGCUGCCCAGCAGCGCUCCCAGCCUCUUGGCUUCGCGGGCCCGGAAUUCGGGGCUGGCUGAAGCUCGUUGCCCUCUUGCUCGCGUUCAUCCGCCUUUGAGGCUCGGUGGGGAGGGUCGCAGCCGGCUGUUUGCAGCGCCUGGGUUUUCACAGGACAUCUCUGGCUGCCGUGCGGCGCGGGACUGUCGGGGCAAAGGCAGGAGCACGCGGUCGGCUGCAGUAAUUGAGCUGAAUGAUUUGAGACAACAUUUAGAUACAUCUUCGGAAGAGAAUAGUGGCUUAAAAUCGCUUUUGUUCAGUAUGAAAAAGGAGGUGAAAAAUGCAGACGCUGCAGCUACCUUAAAUCUGCAGCUCGCUGGACUUCAAACAAGUGUGACGAGGCUGUGUGGUGAGAUUGUGGAGCUGAAGCAGCACGUGGACCACUAUGACAAGAUCCAGGAGCUCACGCAGAUGCUGCAGGAGAGCCACAGGUGCCACCGGGAGGCCUGGCGGGGCCUUGGGAGGAGGCUGAGGCACAGGGAGGGUGGGGCUGGCCUGGGUUGCACCAGAGGGCACCAGGAGUAG